AGAGCCGUCGGGUCGACCGCCCGGGUCACCGUCAGAUAGUCGCGGAUCGCCGUACCGUGCCGCGCCUC
rnacentral:sRNA from 1 species